rnacentral:rRNA from 1 species
UACGAAGGGGGCUAGCGUUGUUCGGAAUUACUGGGCGUAAAGCGCGUGUAGGCGGGUCUUUAAGUCAGGGGUGAAAUGCCAAGGCUCAACCUUGGAGCUGCCUUUGAUACUGGAGAUCUUGAGUCCGGGAGAGGUGAGUGGAAUUGCGAGUGUAGAGGUGAAAUUCGUAGAUAUUCGCAAGAACACCAGUGGCGAAGGCGGCUCACUGGCCCGGAACUGACGCUGAGACGCGAAAGCGUGGGGAGCAAACAGGG